ensembl:lncRNA
AACCAGGACUAAACCAGGACUAAACCAGGUCUAAACCAGGACUAAACCAGGUCUAAAACAGGACUAAACCAGGACUAAACCAGGACUAAACCAGGACUAAACCAGGACUAAACCAGGACUAAACCAGGACUAAACCAGGUCUAAAACAGGACUAAACCAGGACUAAACCAGGACUAAAACAGGUCUAAACCAGGUCUAAACCAGGUCUAAACCAGGUCUAAACCAGGACUAAACCAGGACUAAACCAGGACUAAACCAGGACUAAACCAGGUCUAAACCAGGACUAAACCAGGUCUAAAACAGGACUAAACCAGGACUAAACCAGGUCUAAAACAGGACUAAACCAGGUCUAAACCAGGUCUAAACCAGGACUAAACCAGGACUAAACCAGGACUAAACCAGGACUAAACCAGGACUAAACCAGGGACUAAACCAGGACUAAACCAGGUCUAAACCAGGACUAAACCAGGACUAAACCAGGACUAAACCAGGACUAAACCAGGACUAAACCAGGACUAAACCAGGACUAAACCAGGGACUAAACCAGGACUAAAC